rnacentral:RNase_P_RNA from 1 species
GAGCGGGUCGGACGGUCGCUCCCGCACUUAUUUUAAGGUGUACUAAAGUGAGCUAAAGUUAAAAGUGAGCUAAAGUGAAAAAAUAAUCCACAACUUUAGGCACUUCAAACUUUAGGCACUUUAAUAGGUGCGGGUGAGGAAAGUCCGAGCAGGACAGGGCACGGUGGUGGUUAACGGCCACCCGGGGCAACCCGCGGGAAAGUGCCGCAGAAAACACACAGCCGAUGACCGCUAUAUACGGAACAGGCAAAGGUGAAAAGGUGCGGUAAGAGCGCACCGCAAAGCUGGUGACAGUUUUGGCAGGGCAAACCCCACCGCCUGCAAGACCAAGAAGCUGGUGCCCGGCCCGGGCGUUACCGGCGGGUAGGUCGCUUCCCGAUUCAUCGGGAGAGCUAAUCGGCAACGGUUAGUCAAGUUAAAUGGCCGUCGUCCCGUCAUAAUCGGCGGGAUACAGAACUCGGCUUAUAGGCCCGCUCUUUUA